CGGGUGAGUAACACGUAUCCAACCUGCCGUCUACUCUUGGCCAGCCUUCUGAAAGGAAGAUUAAUCCAGGAUGGCAUCAUGAGUUCACAUGUCCGCAUGAUUAAAGGUAUUUUCCGGUAGACGAUGGGGAUGCGUUCCAUUAGAUAGUAGGCGGGGUAACGGCCCACCUAGUCAACGAUGGAUAGGGGUUCUGAGAGGAAGGUCCCCCACAUUGGAACUGAGACACGGUUCAA
rnacentral:rRNA from 1 species